rnacentral:rRNA from 1 species
CAGGCUCAGGAUGAACGCUAGCGGCAGGCUUAACACAUGCAAGUCGAGGGGUAACAUAGUUGCUUGCAACUGAUGACGACCGGCGCACGGGUGCGUAACGCGUAUAGUACCUACCUUAUAGUAAGGGAUAGCCCAGAGAAAUUUGGAUUAAUACCUUAUAGUAUCCUAAGUGAGCCUUCACUAAGGAUUAAAGAUUUAUCGCUAUAAGAUGGCUAUGCGUUCUAUUAGCUAGUUGGUAUGGUAACGGCAUACCAAGGCUACGAUAGAUAGGGGUCCUGAGAGGGAGAUCCCCCACACUGGUACUGAGACACGGACCAGACUCCUACGGGAGGCAGCAGUGAGGAAUAUUGGACAAUGGAGGCAACUCUGAUCCAGCCAUGCCGCGUGUAGGAAGACUGCCCUAUGGGUUGUAAACUACUUUUAUAGAGGAAGAAACCAUUUCACGUGUGAAAUGCUGACGGUACUCUACGAAUAAGGAUCGGCUAACUCCGUGCCAGCAGCCGCGGUAAUACGGAGGAUCCAAGCGUUAUCCGGAAUCAUUGGGUUUAAAGGGUCCGUAGGCGGUUUAGUAAGUCAGUGGUGAAAGUUUUCGGCUCAACCGGAAAAUUGCCAUUGAUACUGCAAGACUUGAAUUAUUGUGAAGUGGUUAGAAUGUGUAGUGUAGCGGUGAAAUGCAUAGAUAUUACACAGAAUACCGAUUGCGAAGGCAGAUCACUAACAAUUAAUUGACGCUAAGGGACGAAAGCGUGGGUAGCGAACAGGAUUAGAUACCCUGGUAGUCCACGCCGUAAACGAUGGUUACUAGCUGUUUGGACUUCGGUCUGAGUGGCUAAGCGAAAGUGAUAAGUAACCCACCU